AAAUUGAAGAGUUUGAUCAUGGCUCAGAUUGAACGCUGGCGGCAGGCCUAACACAUGCAAGUCGAACGGUAACAGGAAGCAGCUUGCUGCUUCGCUGACGAGUGGCGGACGGGUGAGUAAUGUCUGGGAAACUGCCUGAUGGAGGGGGAUAACUACUGGAAACGGUGGCUAAUACCGCAUAACGUCGCAAGACCAAAGAGGGGGACCUUCGGGCCUCUUGCCAUCAGAUGUGCCCAGAUGGGAUUAGCUUGUUGGUGAGGUAACGGCUCACCAAGGCGACGAUCCCUAGCUGGUCUGAGAGGAUGACCAGCCACACUGGAACUGAGACACGGUCCAGACUCCUACGGGAGGCAGCAGUGGGGAAUAUUGCACAAUGGGCGCAAGCCUGAUGCAGCCAUGCCGCGUGUAUGAAGAAGGCCUUCGGGUUGUAAAGUACUUUCAGCGGGGAGGAAGGUGUUGUGGUUAAUAACCGCAGCAAUUGACGUUACCCGCAGAAGAAGCACCGGCUAACUCCGUGCCAGCAGCCGCGGUAAUACGGAGGGUGCAAGCGUUAAUCGGAAUUACUGGGCGUAAAGCGCACGCAGGCGGUCUGUCAAGUCGGAUGUGAAAUCCCCGGGCUCAACCUGGGAACUGCAUUCGAAACUGGCAGGCUUGAGUCUUGUAGAGGGGGGUAGAAUUCCAGGUGUAGCGGUGAAAUGCGUAGAGAUCUGGAGGAAUACCGGUGGCGAAGGCGGCCCCCUGGACAAAGACUGACGCUCAGGUGCGAAAGCGUGGGGAGCAAACAGGAUUAGAUACCCUGGUAGUCCACGCCGUAAACGAUGUCUACUUGGAGGUUGUGCCCUUGAGGCGUGGCUUCCGGAGCUAACGCGUUAAGUAGACCGCCUGGGGAGUACGGCCGCAAGGUUAAAACUCAAAUGAAUUGACGGGGGCCCGCACAAGCGGUGGAGCAUGUGGUUUAAUUCGAUGCAACGCGAAGAACCUUACCUGGUCUUGACAUCCACAGAACUUUCCAGAGAUGGAUUGGUGCCUUCGGGAACUGUGAGACAGGUGCUGCAUGGCUGUCGUCAGCUCGUGUUGUGAAAUGUUGGGUUAAGUCCCGCAACGAGCGCAACCCUUAUCCUUUGU
rnacentral:rRNA from 1 species